CUUUUUGCCUCUUCCGGGCCGCCGUCGUCCUCUGAUGCAGCUGCCAUGCGCCCCCUACAGGAUGGCUUCAUAAGUGUUAGCAACAUUCAGUCGGUGAAAGAACCGAAUGGGCAACCACAGAAGCAUGGUCACCGAGUGUGUGGUUUUGCCUUAGAGGGUGUAAAGAUCAGAACAGAAAUACACUAUACAGGAACAAGAAUGUGGAACUCACGGGUCACAAACAUAUGACCAACAGAUGAUAGCACAAAUGUAUA